CCUACGGGAGGCAGCAGUAGGGAAUCUUCCACAAUGGGCGAAAGCCUGAUGGAGCAACGCCGCGUGAGUGAUGAAGGCCUUCGGGUUGUAAAACUCUGUCAUUCGGGACGAACCGGAGUCUGAGGAAAUGCAGACUCUCUGACGGUACCGGAGGAGGAAGCCCCGGCUAACUACGUGCCAGCAGCCGCGGUAAUACGUAGGGGGCAAGCGUUGUCCGGAUUCACUGGGCGUAAAGCGCGCGCAGGCGGUGAUGUAAGUCUGAGGUGAAAACCCGAAGCUCAACUUCGGGACUGCCUUGGAUACUGCGUCACUUGAGGAUAGGAGAGGCAAGGGGAAUUCCACGUGUAGCGGUGAAAUGCGUAGAGAUGUGGAAGAACACCUGUGGCGAAGGCGCCUUGCUGGCCUAUUUCUGACGCUGAGGCGCGAAAGCGUGGGGAGCAAACAGGAUUAGAUACCCUGGUAGUCCACGCUGUAAACGAUGAGUGCUAGGUGUAGGUGGGCUCAUACCCAUCUGUGCCGAAGCUAACGCAUUAAGCACUCCGCCUGGGGAGUACGGUCGCAAGACUGAAACUCAAAGGAAUUGACGG
rnacentral:rRNA from 1 species